GUCAAUGGGAGGACGCGUUAAAGGACAGCAGGCGAGGGACAAAGAGGGGGAGGGUGAAGAGGACAAACAGGCGUAAACAUUUUCAAAGUUUCUUUCUCCAAAGCUUUUGGAUGAAACGGGAUUCCAGACAGUGAUGGCCCUGGAUAUCAUUCUAUGGUAGCGCUUGUGGCAGAGUAAACAUUCCUCAAUCACAUGAUGCUUCCAGAAAGAACGCCCUUGUUCCCGAGUAAACCGUGUUUACAGCCACAAGUAGGUGUACAUGAAAACUAUCAUGCAAAACUGUAUUUUAAAUGCAAUAAAAAUAAAUAAAUAAAUCUUUGAAAAUGAAAUUGUGUGAAUUUUACCUAAAAAAAUAUAAAAAAAAAGGUACACAGUGAUAAAAUAUUAAUAAUAUAAAUAAACAAUAAAAAUAUUUCUAUCUUUGAAAAUGAAGUUGCAUGAUUAUUUUAGGUAAACAAUAAUUUAUAAAAAAAAAAAAAUCAAGGUUCUCUUUACAGUAAUAA